rnacentral:rRNA from 1 species
UGAGGCACGAAAGCGUGGGGAGCAAACAGGAUUAGAUACCCUGGUAGUCCACGCCGUAAACGAUGAGUACUAAGUGUUGGGUUAAACCAGUGCUGAAGUUAACACAUUAAGUACUCCGCCUGAGUAGUACGUACGCAAGUAUGAAACUUAAAGGAAUUGACGGGACUCCGCACAAGCGGUGGAUCAUGUUGUUUAAUUCGAAGAUACACGAAAAACCUUACCAGGUCUUGACAUACUCUGCAAAGCUAUAGAAAUAUAGUGGAGGUUAUCAGGGAUACAGGUGGUGCAUGGUUGUCGUCAGCUCGUGUCGUGAGAUGUUGGGUUAAGUCCCGCAACGAGCGCAACCCUUAUCACUAGUUACCAU